GCCAGGCGUGGUGGCGCAUGCCUGUAAUCCCAGCUACUCGGGAGGCUGAGGCAGGAGAAUUGCAUGAACCCAGGAGAUGGAGGUUGCAGUGAGCCAAGAUCACGCCACUGCACUCCAACCUGGGUGACAAAGCAAGACUCUAUCUCAA
rnacentral:SRP_RNA from 2 species